rnacentral:rRNA from 1 species
ACUCUAAGCGGUGGAUCACUCGGCUCAUGGGUCGAUGAAGAACGCAGCAAACUGUGCGUCAUCGUGUGAACUGCAGGACACAUGAACAUCGACAUUUUGAACGCAUAUCGCAGUCCAUGCUGUUAUGUACUUUAAUUAAUUUUAUAGUGCUGCUUGGACUACAUAUGGUUGAGGGUUGUAAGACUAUGCUAAUUAAGUUGCUUAUAAAUUUUUAUAAGCAUAUGGUAUAUUAUUGGAUAAAUAUAAUAAUUUUUAUUCAUAAUAUUAAAAAAUAAAUGAAAAACAUUAUCUCACAUUUGAAUGUGAAAAACGAAGAGAAAUAUUUUCUUUUUCAAUCAAAUAAUACUGAGAAAUGUCUAGCAUAAAAAAUUGAAAUAUUUUUCAUCUAGAAUUGUCUCUUAUUAAUGAUUCGGAAAUAGAAAAAUCUUUGGUUAUGUUAUUAUUCUUCGUUGGUUCGUUAAAAAUGGAUAAAUAAAAACUUUGCAUACAAGAAUUAAUAAAAAUGUUAUAACGAAUUUAAUUAAAUGUUUUAUCAUUAUAUAUAAAGAAUUUAUGGCAAGAUAAAGUUAUAUACAACCUCAACUCAUAUGGGACUACCCCCUGAAUUUAAGCAUAUUAAUUAGGGGAGGAAAAGAAACUAACAAGGAUUUUCUUAGUAGCGGCGAGCGAAAAGAAAACAGUUCAGCACUAAGUCACUUUGUCUAUAUGGCAAAUGUGAGAUGCAGUGUAUGGAGCGUCAAUAUUCUAGUAUGAGAAAUUAACGAUUUAAGUCCUUCUUAAAUGAGGCCAUUUACCCAUAGAGGGUGCCAGGCCCGUAUAACGUUAAUGAUUACUAGAUGAUGUUUCCAAAGAGUCGUGUUGCUUGAUAGUGCAGCACUAAGUGGGUGGUAAACUCCAUCUAAAACUAAAUAUAACCAUGAGACCGAUAGUAAACAAGUACCGUGAGGGAAAGUUGAAAAGAACUCUGAAUAGAGAGUUAAACAGUACGUGAAACUGCUUAGAGGUUAAGCCCGAUGAACCUGAAUAUCCGUUAUGGAAAAUUCAUCAUUAAAAUUGUAAUAUUUAAAUAAUAUUAUGAGAAUAGUGUGCAUUUUUUCCAUAUAAGGACAUUGUAAUCUAUUAGCAUAUACCAAAUUUAUCAUAAAAUAUAACUUAUAGUUUAUUCCAAUUAAAUUGCUUGCAUUUUAACACAGAAUAAAUGUUAUUAAUUUGAUAAAGUGCUGAUAGAUUUAUAUGAUUACAGUGCGUUAAUUUUUCGGAAUUAUAUAAUGGCAUAAUUAUCAUUGAUUUUUGUGUUUAUUAUAUGCACUUGUAUGAUUAACAAUGCGAAAGAUUCAGGAUACCUUCGGGACCCGUCUUGAAACACGGACCAAGGAGUCUAACAUAUGUGCAAGUUAUUGGGAUAUAAACCUAAUAGCGUAAUUAACUUGACUAAUAAUGGGAUUAGUUUUUUAGCUAUUUAUAGCUAAUUAACACAAUCCCGGGGCGUUCUAUAUAGUUAUGUAUAAUGUAUAUUUAUAUUAUUUAUGCCUCUAACUGGAACGUACCUUGAGCAUAUAUGCUGUGACCCGAAAGAUGGUGAACUAUACUUGAUCAGGUUGAAGUCAGGGGAAACCCUGAUGGAAGACCGAAACAGUUCUGACGUGCAAAUCGAUUGUCAGAAUUGAGUAUAGGGGCGAAAGACCAAUCGAACCAUCUAGUAGCUGGUUCCUUCCGAAGUUUCCCUCAGGAUAGCUGGUGCAUUUUAAUAUUAUAUAAAAUAAUCUUAUCUGGUAAAGCGAAUGAUUAGAGGCCUUAGGGUCGAAACGAUCUUAAACCUAUUCUCAAACUUUAAAUGGGUAAGAACCUUAACUUUCUUGAUAUGAAGUUCAAGGUUAUGAUAUAAUGUGCCCAGUGGGCCACUUUUGGUAAGCAGAACUGGCGCUGUGGGAUGAACCAAACGUAAUGUUACGGUGCCCAAAUUAACAACUCAUGCAGAUACCAUGAAAGGCGUUGGUUGCUUAAAACAGCAGGACGGUGAUCAUGGAAGUCGAAAUCCGCUAAGGAGUGUGUAACAACUCACCUGCCGAAGCAACUAGCCCUUAAAAUGGAUGGCGCUUAAGUUGUAUACCUAUACAUUACCGCUAAAGUAGAUGAUUUAUAUUACUUGUGAUAUAAAUUUUGAAACUUUAGUGAGUAGGAAGGUACAAUGGUAUGCGUAGAAGUGUUUGGCGUAAGCCUGCAUGGAGCUGCCAUUGGUACAGAUCUUGGUGGUAGUAGCAAAUAAUCGAAUGAGACCUUGGAGGACUGAAGUGGAGAAGGGUUUCGUGUGAACAGUGGUUGAUCACGAGUUAGUCGGUCCUAAGUUCAAGGCGAAAGCCGAAAAUUUUCAAGUAAAACAAAAAUGCCUAACUAUAUAAACAAAGCGAAUUAUAAUACACUUGAAUAAUUUUGAACGAAAGGGAAUACGGUUCCAAUUCCGUAACCUGUUGAGUAUCCGUUUGUUAUUAAAUAUGGGCCUCGUGCUCAUCCUGGCAACAGGAACGACCAUAAAGAAGCCGUCGAGAGAUAUCGGAAGAGUUUUCUUUUCUGUUUUAUAGCCGUACUACCAUGGAAGUCUUUCGCAGAGAGAUAUGGUAGAUGGGCUAGAAGAGCAUGACAUAUACUGUUGUGUCGAUAUUUUCUCCUCGGACCUUGAAAAUUUAUGGUGGGGACACGCAAACUUCUCAACAGGCCGUACCAAUAUCCGCAGCUGGUCUCCAAGGUGAAGAGUCUCUAGUCGAUAGAAUAAUGUAGGUAAGGGAAGUCGGCAAAUUAGAUCCGUAACUUCGGGAUAAGGAUUGGCUCUGAAGAUUGAGAUAGUCGGGCUUGAUUGGGAAACAAUAACAUGGUUUAUGUGCUCGUUCUGGGUAAAUAGAGUUUCUAGCAUUUAUGUUAGUUACUUGUUCCCCGGAUAGUUUAGUUACGUAGCCAAUUGUGGAACUUUCUUGCUAAAAUUUUUAAGAAUACUAUUUGGGUUAAACCAAUUAGUUCUUAUUAAUUAUAACGAUUAUCAAUUAACAAUCAAUUCAGAACUGGCACGGACUUGGGGAAUCCGACUGUCUAAUUAAAACAAAGCAUUGUGAUGGCCCUAGCGGGUGUUGACACAAUGUGAUUUCUGCCCAGUGCUCUGAAUGUCAAAGUGAAGAAAUUCAAGUAAGCGCGGGUCAACGGCGGGAGUAACUAUGACUCUCUUAAGGUAGCCAAAUGCCUCGUCAUCUAAUUAGUGACGCGCAUGAAUGGAUUAACGACGGACGUGUUUUCGUUGCGCUCGUGGACAUAGUGCGAAGAACUUUGUUUUCCGU